AGCUUGCUUUUGGAUCGUUAGCGGCGGACGGGUGAGUAACACGUGGGCAACCUGCCCUGUAGACGGGGAUAACACCGAGAAAUCGGUGCUAAUACCGGAUAAUACGAAAGGCCGCAUGGUCUUUCGUUGAAAGGCGGCGCAAGCUGUCGCUACAGGAUGGGCCCGCGGCGCAUUAGCUAGUUGGUGAGGUAACGGCUCACCAAGGCGACGAUGCGUAGCCGACCUGAGAGGGUGAUCGGCCACACUGGGACUGAGACACGGCCCAGACUCCUACGGGAGGCAGCAGUAGGGAAUCUUCCGCAAUGGACGAAAGUCUGACGGAGCAACGCCGCGUGAGCGAAGAAGGCCUUCGGGUCGUAAAGCUCUGUUGUUAGGGAAGAACAAGUACCGCAGUCACUGGCGGUACCUUGACGGUACCUAACGAGGAAGCCACGGCUAACUACGUGCCAGCAGCCGCGGUAAUACGUAGGUGGCAAGCGUUGUCCGGAAUUAUUGGGCGUAAAGCGCGCGCAGGCGGUUCCUUAAGUCUGAUGUGAAAGCCCACGGCUCAACCGUGGAGGGUCAUUGGAAACUGGGGGACUUGAGUGCAAAAAAGGAAAGCGGAAUUCCACGUGUAGCGGUGAAAUGCGUAAAGAUGUGGAGGAACACCAGUGGCGAAGGCGGCUCUCUGGUCUGUAACUGACGCUAAGGCGCGAAAGCGUGGGGAGCAACAGGAUUGAUACCUGUUGUCCCCCCGUAACGAUGAGUCUAAGUUUAGAGGGUAUCCACCUUUAGUGCUUAGCUUACGCAUUAACCAUCCGCCUUGGGAGUACGCUCGCAGGAUGAAAUUCAAAGGAAUGACGGGGGCCCGCCCAAGCGGUGGGCCAGGGGUUAAAUUCGAGGCAACGGGAAGAACUUACCCAGUUCUUGACAUCCCCUGCCAACCGGAGGGUUGGGGCGUUCCCCCUUCGGGGGANCAGGGUGACAGGUGGUGCAUGGUUGUCGUCAGCUCGUGUCGUGAGAUGUUGGGUUAAGUCCCGCAACGAGCGCAACCCUCGACCUUAGUGCCAGCAUUCAGUUGGGCACUCUAAGGUGACUGCCGGCUAAAAGUCGGAGGAAGGUGGGGAUGACGUCAAAUCAUCAUGCCCCUUAUGACCUGGGCUACACACGUGCUACAAUGGGCGGUACAAAGGGUCGCGAACCCGCGAGGGGGAGCCAAUCCCAAAAAGCCGCUCUCAGUUCGGAUUGCAGGCUGCAACUCGCCUGCAUGAAGCCGGAAUCGCUAGUAAUCGCGGAUCAGCAUGCCGCGGUGAAUACGUUCCCGGGCCUUGUACACACCGCCCGUCACACCACGAGAGUUGCAACACCCGAAGUCGGUGAGGUAACCCUUA
rnacentral:rRNA from 1 species